CCCUUAGAUGUUCUGGGCCGCACGCGCGCUACACUGAUGCAUUCAACGAGUUACCUUGGCCGAGAGGCCUGGGCAAUCUUUUGAACGUGCAUCGUGAUAGGGAUAGAUUAUUGCAAUUAUUAAUCUUGAACGAGGAAUUCCUAGUAAACGCAGUUCAUCAAACUGCAUUGAUUACGUCCCUGCCCUUUGUACACACCGCCCAUCGCACCUACCGAUUGGAUGGUCCGGUGAAGCCUCGGGAUUGUGGCCAGUGCCUUUUUGGUUUUGGUUGCGAGAACUUGUCUAAACCUUAUCAUCUAGAGGAAGGUGAAGUCGUAACA
rnacentral:rRNA from 1 species